GCGCAAGCGUUGUCCGGCCUUAUUGGGCGUAACGCGCUCGUAGGCGGUUUGUCGCGUCUGCUGUGAAAACCUAAGGCUCAACCUUGGGCUUGCAGUGGGUACGGGCAGACUAGAGUGCGGUAGGGGUGACUGGAAUUCCUGGUGUAGCGGUGGAAUGCGCAGAUAUCAGGAGGAACACCGAUGGCGAAGGCAGGUCACUGGGCCGCAACUGACACUGAGAGACGAAAGCUAGGGGAGCGAAUGGG
rnacentral:rRNA from 1 species